CCUACGGGGGGCAGCAGUGAGGAAUAUUGGUCAAUGGGCGUAAGCCUGAACCAGCCAAGCCGCGUGAGGGAUGAAGGUUCUAUGGAUCGUAAACCUCUUUUAUAAGGGAAUACAGUGCGGGACGUGUCCCGUUUUGUAUGUACCUUAUGAAUCAGGAUCGGCUAACUCCGUGCCAGCAGCCGCGGUAAUACGGAGGAUCCGAGCGUUAUCCGGAUUUAUUGGGUUUAAAGGGUGCGUAGGCGGCCUUUUAAGUCAGCGGUGAAAGCCUGUGGCUCAACCCUAGAAGUGCCGUUGAAACUGGGAGGCUGGAGUAUGGGAGAGGCAGGCGGAAUGCGUGGUGUAGCGGUGAAAUGCGUAGAUAUCACGCAGAACCCCGAUGGCGAAGGCAGCCUGCCAAGCCAUGACUGACGCUGAGGCGCGAAAGCGUGGGGAGCAAACAGGAUUAGAUACCCGAGUAGUC
rnacentral:rRNA from 1 species